rnacentral:rRNA from 1 species
GGAUGAGUGGCGAACGGGUGAGUAACACGUGGGAAAUCUGCCUAGGAGUGGGGGAUAACAUUCGGAAACGGAUGCUAAUACCGCAUAUCUUCAUAGACCGCAUGGUCUAUGAAUGAAAGACGGCUUUGCUGUCGCUCUUAGAUGAUCCCGCGGCGUAUUAGUUAGUUGGUGGGGUAAAGGCCUACCAAGACAAUGAUACGUAGCCGACCUGAGAGGGUGAUCGGCCACACUGGGACUGAGACACGGCCCAGACUCCUACGGGAGGCAGCAGUAGGGAAUCUUCCACAAUGGGUGCAAACCUGAUGGAGCAAUGCCGCGUGAAUGAAGAAGGUCUUCGGAUCGUAAAGUUCUGUUAUUAGUGAAGAACAAAUCGAGGAGUAACUGUCUCGAUUUUGACGGUAACUAACCAGAAAGUCACGGCUAACUACGUGCCAGCAGCCGCGGUAAUACGUAGGUGACAAGCGUUGUCCGGAAUUAUUGGGCGUAAAGGGAGCGCAGGCGGUUGGAAUAGUCUGAUGUGAAAGCCCACGGCUUAACCGUGGAAGGUCAUUGGAAACUGUCCAACUUGAAUGCAGAAGAGGUAAGUGGAAUUCCAUGUGUAGCGGUGAAAUGCGUAGAUAUAUGGAGGAACACCAGUGGCGAAGGCGACUUACUGGUCUGUGAUUGACGCUGAGGCUCGAAAGCGUGGGUAGCGAACAGGAUUAGAUACCCUGGUAGUCCACGCCGUAAACGAUGAGCGCUAAGUGUUGGAGGGUUCCGCCCUUCAGUGCUGGAGUUAACGCAU